UACCCGCAGCACAAGUGGUGGUCAUUAUUAUUGGGCCUAAAGCGUCCGUAGCUGGCGUGUUAGAUGCCUGGGUAAAUCGAUGCGCUCAACGUAUCGAAUUCCGGGUAGACCGGCACGCUCGAGACCGGGAGAGGUGUAGGCUACUCGCGGGGUAGGGGUAAAAUCCUGUAAUCCUGUGGGGAGGACCAGUGGCGAAGGCGCUACACUAGAACGGCUCUGACAGUGAGGGACGAAGCCCUGGGGCGCAAACCGG
rnacentral:rRNA from 1 species